UUCUCUCCUCAUCUCCGCCAUUAGAAUGAGACAGAACCAGAGUUCCGAGAGAUGUUUCAUCUUCUUACUAUCAAUCUAUACCAGUUACAAAUUCCUCAUCUUAAAUUCCUUCUUAAAUGAUCGCUCACGAUUUACCUUGAAUGCGAGUUUCUUCAUGCAAGGCGGUUGGAUUUUGAUUAUAAAAAGACCGACGAUGCUCCUCCCCGUUCAAGUCCGGUUGUUCAGCUUCUGGGAGGCCAGGAACGUACAUGGGAGUGGAUAUGCUUCUACUGAAUUCUCAGGAGCGAGAUGGAGGGCUACGAGCAAGCGGCGGAGAGCAAGUCAGCACUCGGCAAGGCAGCUCUCGGCGGAGAGAAAAAAAGAAAAAGCGGCAGAGAGCGAUGGAGCCAGUAGUGGAGAGCAAGAGCGGAGAGCGGUGAACAAACAGUGUUGAGAUGGAUCAGCUGACGGAAAGAGUGAGAUAGUAGCCAUGGAACAAGCCACAUAGAGUGUGACGAGAGAUAGGCUCUCGGAUUACAUGGGAGUUUGAUAGGCUCUCGGACAGGAGUGCUGAGAUCACAUAAGCUCUAAUGAUACAGAUGGAAGUUCAGAAACAUCUCCCUAAGCACACAGUGUGUAUAGCUUGCGAUUGAAUGGGAGUAAGUGGACAGACUUCGGCCAGUGGAAAACCGAAGAACUAUCAAAAGAAAACUUUGCAUUUGUAAAUAAUGAUAAUUUCAGCUUAAGCACGUAUUAGAUAUACCUCUGUAACUUUCAGUUUGUUUAAACUUAGAAGUAAUUGUCUCUCUUUGUAUAUCACAGUUACCGAAUAUUGAUGGAAGUUUGGUGUUUGUUGAUUAAAAAAAUUAUUGACCAGGCUAGGUAUUAUAUUCUUAAAGC